rnacentral:ncRNA from 1 species
CUCAUCCAGAGCAGUGGAGGGAAUGGCCCGAUGAAACUGCGGCAACCAUUGACGCAAGUCAAAACGGUGCCAAUUCCUUUAGGUUUGACCUAUAAGAUGAGA